rnacentral:rRNA from 1 species
AAUGAACGUUGGCGGCGUGGAUUAGGCAUGCAAGUCGAGCGAGAACCGGUUUCGGCCGGGGACAGCGGCGAACGGCGUAGUAAUGCAUCGGAACGUACCCUCUGGUCGGGGAUAGCUACGGGAAACUGUAGGUAAUACCCGAUGAUCUCUGCGGAGCAAAGGUGAGAUUCCGCCAGAGGAGCGGCUGAUGUGAUAUUAGCUAGUUGGUGGGGUAAUGGCCUACCAAGGCGAUGAUGUCUAGGGGGUGUGAGAGCAUGGCCCCCACGACCGGAACUGAGAUACUGUCCGGACACCUACGGGUGGCUGCAGUCGAGAAUCUUCCGCAAUGGACGAAAGUCUGACGGAGCGACGCCGCGUGCGGGAUGAAGGCCCUUGGGUUGUAAACCGCUGUCAGAGGGGAUGAAAUCUUCGGAGGUACUCCUCCGAAGUUGACAGAGCCUCAAAGGAAGCACGGGCUAAGUACGUGCCAGCCGCCGCAGUAA